UUUGCUUUGAGAGAUAUGUAGAGGCUGCUUAGGUUGAUCAAACCUUGUAUUCUGCAAGUCUAUAUAAAGAGGGAUUGGCCAUUGACUUCAAACAUGGUAGCUGAUAGGUAAAGGCAUUUUCUCCAGAAUUAAAAAAAAAGAAAAAGAAAUUGGGAAUGGGAUCAUUCUGUUUUAGCAUCAGCAAGAAUGACAGUAGUGCUGGCAGAGCAUGUUAAUUGAUGACCAGAAAACUGUUCUUAGGAGGUGAGAAAUCUCAUCCUGUUUUUUUCAGUUUGCUUCCUCGGAAUACUUUCCCUUGAAAAAGUCUAGAAAAUCUCUAACCUUUUUCCAAGUGAGGCCAUGAAAAUAAAGAAUCUUUUUCUGAUUAGUUGGGACUGUUCUUAGUCAUAAAUCCUAACAACCAUCGCAUGGCUUCUUUUCUUCAAUUUGCUGACUGUGUGAGGGUGUGUCCAUAAAGCUUUUUGUGCUGGCACUUUAGCUUUCUAUGCCACCCCACUCUUUUUUUUUUUUUUUCCAUCUCUGUUGUAUCAACCCCAUUUUAAGGUGGCCAUUACAUCCUUAAAAGUUGUUUGACAACAUGUCCUUUGUAUUAAGUGUCGUCAAGCUUCCACGAGGGGCUGCUGCUUUUUCUUAGAUUGUGGAAGGUGUUGAAUUGCAAGGAUAAGACAGACCCGACAAAAACCAGCAAAGGAACAGUCAUUUGCUCAAAUGGAUUAAAACUCCUCUUUAAUGCUGAGUUGUUGGUGACUGGAUUUCAAGCAGGUCAAGCACCAUGCUUUUGCUGUGAGGAGCCACCGAAGGUCAUAAACCAGAGGCUACUUUGAGUAACCCUUCAGAAAGCCGACCGCAUCAAAAAAGGAAGAGAGAAGGGUAGAAGAUUGCUCUUCCUGGAAAUCAAACAGUUGGGAAAGGACAAGAUUAUGAUUUUCUAGUCCUACUACACAUAUAGAUCCAAGGUGAAUCAUAUGGAUUAUGCUAAAACAAUUAAUAUAAAUUGCUUCCCCCCAAAGAAGAAUGAAAGAAUAAACAAUAUCUUGUUUCUAAAGCAAUCAACCCUCCAUUAGCAGGGAAGAUUUAUUCACUUCUGGCCUUAACAUCUCCAGCUGCCUUUCUGUUCAGUGGCUGUACAUGCCUCCAGAGUAUGCACUGAGAGAUGCAGAAUCAGUUUAGGAUGAUCGAACUUGGAUUCUGAAAGCACACACAUUCAUGAAAGGAUGAAGGGGCUCCGAAUUGGCGAGCCUUUAGCUUCUUGUUGCAUUAGUCACCUUUACCUCAUCAACAAGAACAAAAGCACAUUGACCCACAACGAUAAUUGAAAGAUACAGAUAUGAUGAUAGCUUAGAUUUGAUUGCUUCAAAUCAUAACAAUAGAUGUUGUAGGUCCACGUCCGCCCACUUUUUAAAUUCUCCAAUUCACAAUAUAUAUAUUUUUUUCAAAUGUUCAGAAAUUGAUUAUUCAAGGUACUGAUAUACAGUAUAUAUUUUCUUGAGAAGGUACUGUUAUACAUGAUUGUAUAUGAGGAGAAACGACU